AGGUGUUUUUCCUCAAUGACACGUUUUCUCCCGGAUUGCUGACAACAGUGAACGCAACCGGGAACUUCGUGUCAGCCAAGAAUGACACCU
rfam:Gasterosteus aculeatus cont1.002734, whole genome shotgun sequence.